rnacentral:tRNA from 2 species
AGCGGGAUAGAGCAGUUGGUCAGCUCGUCGGGCUCAUAACCCGAAGGUCGUCGGUUCGAGUCCGACUCCCGCUACCA